UACAGAGGUCUCAAGCGUUGUUCGGAUUCAUUGGGCGUAAAGGGUGCGUAGGUGGCGCCGUAAGUGGGGUGUGAAAUUUCGGAGCUUAACUCCGAAACUGCAUUCGAUACUGCGGUGCUUGAGGACUGGAGAGGAGACUGGAAUUUACGGUGUAGCAGUGAAAUGCGUAGAGAUCGUAAGGAAGACCAGUGGCGAAGGCGGGUCUCUGGACAGUUCCUGACACUGAGGCACGAAGGCCAGGGGAGCAAACGGG
rnacentral:rRNA from 1 species